CCCUUAGAUGUCCUGGGCCGCACGCGCGUUACACUGAUGCAUUCAACGAGCUUAUAACCUUGGCCGAGAGGCCUGGGCAAUCUUGUUAACGUGCAUCGUGAUAGGGAUAGAUUAUUGAAAUUAUUAAUCUUGAACGAGGAAUUCCUAGUAAACGCAGAUCAUCAAUCUGCAUUGAUUACGUCCCUGCCCUUUGUACACACCGCCCGUCGCUCCUACCGAUUGAGUGUGUUGGUGAGGAGUUCGGAUUGGCUCUUAGUGGUGGUUCGCCACCACCUAGAGCUGAGAAGUUCUCCAAACCGCCCCACUUAGAGGAAGGAGAAGUCGUAACA
rnacentral:rRNA from 1 species